UACGUAGGUGGCAAGCGUUAUCCGGAAUUACUGGGCGUAAAGCGCACGUAGGCGGUCGGCUAAGUCUGACGUGAAAGCUCCUGGCUUAACUGGGAGAGGUCGUUGGAAACUGGUUGACUUGAGGCGAUGAGAGGGACGUAGAAUUCCCGGUGUAGUGGUGGAAUGCGUAGAUAUCGGGAGGAAUACCAGUGGCGAAAGCGGCGUCCUAGCAUCGGCCUGACGUUCAUGUGCGAAAGCGUGGGGAGCGAACGGG
rnacentral:rRNA from 2 species